rnacentral:rRNA from 1 species
GAGGUCCCGCCUGCCCUGUGACUGAGAGUUUAACGGCCGCGGUAUUUUGACCGUGCAAAGGUAGCGCAAUCACUUGUCUUUUAAAUGGAGACCUGUAUGAAUGGCAUAACGAGGGCUUAACUGUCUCCUCUUUCAAGUCAAUGAAAUUAAUCUCUCCGUGCAGAAGCGGAGAUAAUCUCACAAGACGAGAAGACCCUAUGAAGCUUUAGACAAAAAAGUAGAUCACGCCAAACACUCUCCGCCAAGAGACAAGAGCUUACGACCCCCUACCCGAUUGUCUUCGGUUGGGGCGACCACGGGGUAAAACAAAACCCCCAUGCAGAACGGGGUAAUCUACCCUAGAGCCAAGAGCGCCAGCUCCAAGCAACAGAACUUUUCUGACUAACCAGAUCCGGCCUAGCCGAUCUACGGACCGAGUUACUCUAGGGAUAACAGCGCAAUCCCCUUCUAGAGUCCCUAUCGACAAGGGGGUUUACGACCUCGAUGUUGGAUCAGGACAUCCUAUUGGUGCAGCCGCUAUUAAGGGU